rnacentral:rRNA from 1 species
AACGAUCGCUGGCGGCAUGCCUAACACAUGCAAGUCGAACGAAGCCUUCGGGCUUAGUGGCGCACGGGUGCGUAACGCGUGGGAAUCUGCCCUUGGGUUCGGAAUAACAGUUAGAAAUGACUGCUAAUACCGGAUGAUGUCUUCGGACCAAAGAUUUAUCGCCCAAGGAUGAGCCCGCGUAGGAUUAGGUAGUUGGUGGGGUAAUGGCCCACCAAGCCGACGAUCCUUAGCUGGUCUGAGAGGAUGAUCAGCCACACUGGGACUGAGACACGGCCCAGACUCCUACGGGAGGCAGCAGUGGGGAAUAUUGGACAAUGGGCGAAAGCCUGAUCCAGCAAUGCUGCGUGAGUGAUGAAGGCCUUAGGGUUGUAAAGCUCUUUUACCAGGGAUGAUAAUGACAGUACCUGGAGAAUAAGCUCCGGCUAACUCCGUGCCAGCCGCCGCGGUAA